GGGCCGUUAGCUCAGCUGGUAGAGCAAGUGACUCUUAAUCACUAGGUCGUUGGUUCGAAACCAACACGGCUCACCA
rnacentral:tRNA from 1 species